AAGUCGUAACAAGGUUUCCGUAGGUGAACCUGCGGAAGGAUCAUUAACACGUAUCCAACGUUAAACCCCCCUGUGAACUUUUAUACUUGCUCUCCUAGCCCGCCGGAAUUGCAAUCCCUGGUAAAUCAUUGUUGAACAGAUUUUGAUUCAGGGACCUCAGUUUGGUAGGCGAAGAUCGAGCGAUCGUUGCAAGUGGCCUGGUUUCCCCAAGCAGUCAGUGUCUGGAAGUGUCAUCGAUUGUAAGGAUAACGCUUUUCGAUCACUAGAGGCCGAACCGGCCGGUGACCAGGUCGCUUUAACCCCACGACCUGAACUCGCCUCGUAGGAAACUGCUGGGCAACAAAACGAACAACGUUAACAAUGGAUAUCUUGGUUCU
rnacentral:misc_RNA from 1 species